rnacentral:rRNA from 1 species
GACGAACGCUGGCGGCGUGCCUAAUACAUGCAAGUAGAACGCUGAAGAGAGGAGCUUGCUCUUCUUGGAUGAGUUGCGAACGGGUGAGUAACGCGUAGGUAACCUGCCUUGUAGCGGGGGAUAACUAUUGGAAACGAUAGCUAAUACCGCAUAACAAUGGAUGACACAUGUCAUUUAUUUGAAAGGGGCAAUUGCUCCACUACAAGAUGGACCUGCGUUGUAUUAGCUAGUAGGUGAGGUAACGGCUCACCUAGGCGACGAUACAUAGCCGACCUGAGAGGGUGAUCGGCCACACUGGGACUGAGACACGGCCCAGACUCCUACGGGAGGCAGCAGUAGGGAAUCUUCGGCAAUGGGGGCAACCCUGACCGAGCAACGCCGCGUGAGUGAAGAAGGUUUUCGGAUCGUAAAGCUCUGUUGUAAGUCAAGAACGAGUGUGAGAGUGGAAAGUUCACACUGUGACGGUAGCUUACCAGAAAGGGACGGCUAACUACGUGCCAGCAGCCGCGGUAAUACGUAGGUCCCGAGCGUUGUCCGGAUUUAUUGGGCGUAAAGCGAGCGCAGGCGGUUUGAUAAGUCUGAAGUUAAAGGCUGUGGCUCAACCAUAGUUCGCUUUGGAAACUGUCCAACUUGAGUGCAGAGGGGAGGGUGGAAUUCCAUGUGUAGCGGUGAAAUGCGUAGAUAUAUGGAGGAACACCGGUGGCGAAAGCGGCUCUCUGGUCUGUAACUGACGCUGAGGCUCGAAAGCGUGGGGAGCGAACAGGGAUUAGAUACCCUGGUAGUCCACGCCGUAAACGAUGAGUGCUAGGUGUUGGAUCCUUUCCGGGAUUCAGUGCCGCAGCUAACGCAUUAAGCACUCCGCCUGGGGAGUACGACCGCAAGGUUGAAACUCAAAGGAAUUGACGGGGGCCCGCACAAGCGGUGGAGCAUGUGGUUUAAUUCGAAGCAACGCGAAGAACCUUACCAGGUCUUGACAUCCCGAUGCUAUUUCUAGAGAUAGAAAGUUACUUCGGUACAUCGGUGACAGGUGGUGCAUGGUUGUCGUCAGCUCGUGUCGUGAGAUGUUGGGUUAAGUCCCGCAACGAGCGCAACCCCUAUUGUUAGUUGCCAUCAUUCAGUUGGGCACUCUAGCGAGACUGCCGGUAAUAAACCGGAGGAAGGUGGGGAUGACGUCAAAUCAUCAUGCCCCUUAUGACCUGGGCUACACACGUGCUACAAUGGUUGGUACAACGAGUUGCGAGUCGGUGACGGCAAGCUAAUCUCUUAAAGCCAAUCUCAGUUCGGAUUGUAGGCUGCAACUCGCCUACAUGAAGUCGGAAUCGCUAGUAAUCGCGGAUCAGCACGCCGCGGUGAAUACGUUCCCGGGCCU